rnacentral:lncRNA from 1 species
GAGACGACAGGAGGAGUCAGAAGCAGGAGGUUAAAAAAGACAAGAAACACACACACACACACACACACAAAGCCACCCCACAAAAGCCGUCUAAGUGGCUCCCUUUCGGGACCUGAGGCUUUCCAGCGAAACGUCCUGCGGAGAGCAGACCGUUUGGGGCCGCAGCAUCUUCCCUCCGGGGGCAACGCCUCGGGCCGCCGGGUGUGCGUCCUGGAGCUCUCGGCCCGGCUCAGCCGUCACUCCGGAGGCAGGGAGGUCUCAUCUCGCGUUGAGCGUGCGCUGGCUGCUGGAGACAGAUAUCAAGACGAUAAGAAGACCGCAGAGAAAGGCCUCUUGCUCUGCUGGGGGAGACAGACACACGGACCAAUGGCUGAAACCAGGGCGAUGAGCGCAGUGGUAGGAGUGGGCGCCCCGUGGGGGCGGGCGGGGAGUCUUUCUUGCCUGGGAGACCACGGAAGCUGCCUUUAAGCUGUGAAAGAUAACUUGAGUGUGAUGGGCAGAUGGGAGGCAAAGAGAAAGUGGUGUCACGGGUAGAGACACAGCGACGCUGUUCUCCACACUAGAAUCAUCUCAAUGGAAGCUGGAUGGAGGUGAUGCCAUGUUGCUCGUGGCCCCAGGCAUCUCGCGGAUGAAGAUGAAACUGCUCUCCAGAAGAAGAUAACCACCCAAACACAGAAGGAAAGAAAGUUCAAGGCAAGUGACAAUCUUCCAGUCCUAACCUCCACGAUUAUAGAAAAUAUAGUGGUGAUUUGUGUGCAAAGGUUUGAAAUUUAAAAGUACUGAGUUCCUGAAAUUCAAUAAAAUAUUUUUAUUA